AAAAGUGAGGUAAGCAUCGUGGAGAAGAAGACUUAAGUUUUGGUUAUAGUCUUACCUUCUUCGGUUUUAUUCUUGAAAAGCUGUUAACAAAAACAUUCUUCUUUUGCCGGCUUUGCUGUUACGCUAACUCCUUCGUUUCAAGAAUUUCACAACACGCAUCGAAUGAUUUUUAAAGCUCAUCAGAUAACAACAAUGAACCUUUCAUCGACAAUCAUGCUAAUCUUACUGAUUUUACCGCUGAUCACCGUGUGUUCUGGCACCAGUAACAAGAGCAGCAAACCAGUUGACAUCAAAAUCUCCUUGCAAAAAUUGCAAAAUGACGAGCGAAAACCUUACCUGGAGAUCCAUGAAUUAUCG